UACGUAGGCAGCAAGCGUUGUUCGGAAUUACUGGGCGUAAAGCGCGUGUAGGCGGCCCUGCAAGUCGGGUGUGAAAUCCCAUGGCUCAACUAUGGAAGUGCACUCGAAACUGCAGGGCUAGAGUCCUGGAGAGGAAGGUGGAAUGCUUGGUGUAGAGGUGAAAUUCGUAGAUAUCAAGCGGAACACCGGUGGCGAAGGCGGCCUUCUGGACCAAUACUGACGCUCAUGCACGAAAGCGUGGGGAGCAAACAGG
rnacentral:rRNA from 1 species